rnacentral:rRNA from 1 species
UACGUAGGGUGCAAGCGUUGUCCGGAAUUAUUGGGCGUAAAGAGCUUGUAGGCGGUUUUGUCGCGUCUGCUGUGAAAUUUCGGGGCUCAACCCCGAACUUGCAGUGGGUACGGGCAGACUAGAGUGUGGUAGGGGAGACUGGAAUUCCUGGUGUAGCGGUGAAAUGCGCAGAUAUCAGGAGGAACACCGAUGGCGAAGGCAGGUCUCUGGGCCACUACUGACGCUGAGAAGCGAAAGCAUGGGGAGCGAACAGG